UUCUUCUUCAUCAUCAUCAUCUUCUUCCUUUCUGUUACGGAGUUAUCUUUCCUCUGUCAACUUUAUCAGGUUCUUGCUUCUUUUCUGAGCGUAUCAACAUGGCGACUUCAUCAGUAUGCAUAGCAGGAAAUGAUUUGUCCACCCAUAGAACACAGAAAGUUUUUAGGAAGGAGAUCUAUGGCAGAAAAAUUUUGUACUCCUCAAAUCUUCCAUCAUCUAGGAAAACAUCAAGAGUAGUUGUAAAAGCAUCCCUUCAGCAAGGGCCACAUGAAGGAAGAAGAGGCUUUCUUAAAUUAUUGCUUGGAAAUGUUGGGCUUGGAGUGCCUGCUUUGUUAGGUAAUGGGAAAGCCUAUGCUGAUGAGCAAGGUGUUUCUAACUCAAGGAUGUCUUAUUCUAGAUUUUUGGAGUAUCUGGACAAGGACAGGGUGCAAAAAGUAGAUCUGUUUGAAAAUGGAACCAUAGCUAUUGUAGAAGCUGUAUCUCCAGAAUUGGGGAACCGAGUGCAAAGAGUUAGGGUACAACUACCUGGACUCAGCCAGGAACUCCUUCAAAAGUUCCGGGAAAAGAACAUUGAUUUCGCUGCUCACAAUGCUCAAGAGGACUCAGGUUCUCUCAUAUUCAACUUGAUUGGAAAUCUGGCUUUCCCACUUAUUUUGAUUGGUGGUCUUUUCCUGCUAUCAAGGCGGUCUAACGGAGGAAUGGGAGGUCCUGGUGGGCCUGGAAACCCACUAGCAUUUGGUCAAUCAAAGGCUAAG
rnacentral:misc_RNA from 1 species